GAUGAACGCUGGCGGCGUGCCUAAUACAUGCAAGUCGAGCGAACAGACGAGGAGCUUGCUCCUCUGGCGUUAGCGGCGGACGGGUGAGUAACACGUGGAUAACCUACCUAUAAGACUGGGAUAACUUCGGGAAACCGGAGCUAAUACCGGAUAAUAUAUUGAACCGCAUGGUUCAAUAGUGAAAGACGGUUUUGCUGUCACUUAUAGAUGGAUCCGCGCCGCAUUAGCUAGUUGGUAAGGUAACAGCUUACCAAGGCAACGAUGCGUAGCCGACCUGAGAGGGUGAUCGGCCACACUGGAACUGAGACACGGUCCAGACUCCUACGGGAGGCAGCAGUAGGGAAUCUGCCGCAAUGGGCGAAAGCCUGACGGAGCAACGCCGCGUGAGUGAUGAAGGUCUUCGGAUCGUAAAACUCUGUUAUUAGGGAAGAACAAAUGUGUAAGUAACUAUGCACGUCUUGACGGUACCUAAUCAGAAAGCCACGGCUAACUACGUG
rnacentral:rRNA from 1 species